UACGUAGGGACCAAGCGUUGUUCGGAUUUACUGGGCGUAAAGGGCGCGUAGGCGGCUUAACAAGUCACUUGUGAAAUCUCCGGGCUUAACUCGGAACGGUCAAGUGAUACUGUCGGGCUAGAGUGCAGAAGGGGCAACUGGAAUUCUCGGGUGUAGCGGUGAAAUGCGUAGAUAUCGAGAGGAACACCUGCGGCGAAGGCGGGUUGCUGGGCUGACACGUGACGCUGAGGCGCGAAAGCCAGGGGAGCGAACGGG
rnacentral:rRNA from 1 species